CUGAAUGCAGCUCCCAGGAAAUCUUGGACAAUUCAGCUGACCUGCCCAAGAGAGCAAAAUUCAUCUGUUUCUAUCUGUGGUGUGAUGAUCUGGAGUCCCCCAGAUGGAAGGUGCUAUGGAGGAGCUCCACACCAGAGCCAUCCUUUCUGUCUUUCUUGUCCCAGAGGUGCUGCAGAGCAGAUCCAGAGGCAGAAGGAGCAUUGCUGUGGAACAGCCUUGGCACCCAGCUCACAGCCCCGUGCAGAUGGAGAUGUGGGGUUACCCCUCUGCAGUCCCUGCUGCAGACAAAUCCAGGUCAUGGUCCUCCUAGAAACCCCAUUGGACCUCCAGAAACUCUUGUAGGCCCCAGAAUGCCCAGCUGGCCCAGCCCCAAGGGCCACGGCGGCGUGGGCUGUGCCAGGGUUUCCCGAUGUUCCUGCUCUGUUCCGAUGAAACAUUAUACAGAAAGAUAUAGGCAAAGCAUUAUGCUCACAGCCUUUGCCAACAAGUUAUGUUUUAAUGUAAUUUAACUGUAAUCUCAGAGUGUUUUUGUUAGCUAUAAUUAGUAAAAUAUGUCUGUUUUCUGUGUUCCUUGAAGACGUCUGAACUCCUGCCAGUUCCCUAUAGUUUUCCUGACAUGCAGUGUAACAAGCAGACCACCAAAAUGUAUUUACCAAUAACUGUUUAUUUACAUUCCAUGAAAUCUAAUAACAUUUGCUGCCUUCAUUCGGGAUAAAUGCUGGCCAAAGUGUAAAGCAUAGAAAAAUAAA